GAACCCUGAGGUGCAGUGCUACAAAAAUGGAAUAAUCCAUUCAUUUCUUUUCUUUUUUCCGGCAUAGUUCGAUGAACUGUUGAAGGUCUUUGUCAUUUGAGAUUUUCCUAAUUCGUUGUUAUGAGGAAGAAGAGGAAAGGGAGUGAAACGGAAGCAUGUGCAGAUAUACAAAAUGAAUUAACGCCUAGCCAUGACAAGAAAUCAUCAAAUCUCAGGUCUCAUUAUUCCCUUGAAGAUUACAACAGGUUAAAGAAGAGGUGCAAAGAAGAUGCUGAUAAUGAGCCUGUUAGCUCUUGCAAAAGUAGACUUGCUGGCAUUGCCACUGCCCCACCUUGUGGUGCCUCAUCAUCAUUGGUGCCACCUGGAAGAGGCCUCAAGAGGAAGAUAGGGUGUAUAGAUAAUGCUACCCAGACAGGUAGAAAGAAUAGGAUUGAGGAUGACUUUGUUUCAGGUGCCACUAUUGGGCGAGGUAAAUUUGGUUCAGUUUGGUUGUGUAGAUCUAAGGCAACUGGAGUAGAAUUUGCUUGUAAGACUUUGCGGAAGGGGGAGGAGACAGUUCAUAGGGAGGUGGAGAUAAUGCAGCACUUGUCUGGCCAUCCUGGGGUUGUGACAUUGCAUGCUGUCUACGAGGAGACAGAAAGUUUUCAUCUUGUGAUGGAGUUAUGCUGUGGGGGGCGUUUGAUUGACCAGAUGGUCAAAGAGGGUCGGUACUCAGAACAACGGGCUGCUAAUAUAUUUAAAGAUGUGAUGUCAGUUAUCAAGUAUUGUCAUGAUAUGGGAGUUGUGCACAGAGAUAUAAAACCAGAGAAUGUACUUCUCAUGAGCUCGGGGAAAAUAAAGCUUGCAGAUUUUGGCUUGGCCAUGAGAAUUUCUAAUUGUCAGACAUUGUCUGGUUUGGCUGGAAGUCCAGCAUAUGUUGCCCCAGAAGUUCUUUCAGGAAAUUAUUCUGAGAAGGUUGAUAUAUGGAGUGCUGGUGUCCUACUACAUGCUCUCUUGGUUGGUGUUCUUCCAUUUCAAGGCGACUCCUUAGAAGCUGUUUUUGAGGGCAUCAAGAAUGUGAAACUUGAUUUCCACACAGGAAUAUGGGAGUCCAUAUCUAAGCCUGCCCGUGAUUUAGUUUCAAGAAUGCUAACAAGGGAUGUUUCAGCAAGGAUAACCGCAGAUGAAGUGCUAAUGGUAUUGAUUCAGGGCACCCAUGGAUAAUUUUCUACACAGAGCGCAUGUUAAAGACACUGUCCAUUAAGUCAAAAAUGAAGAAUCAAGUUGGAGUCAUUUCCUGUCAACCAGCAAGUGCACCUCGAGAGAUGCAUGGAAACAAAGUAGAGAGUGGCUCCCUUGGUGAGGAUUCAAAUCAUCAUUCAUUAUCUGAUAGUUGGAGCAGCAAGUCAGAAGAGCAAGAUGACUUUGGCUUGGUGGAUGCACUUACGGUGGCAGUUUCCCACGUGAAGAUUUCAGAGACAAAGAGGAGCAGGCUGUGUGGGCCUACAGGUCCAAUAGAGCAGCAGCUUUCAUCUAACCUGACAGCUAAAAACCUUUGUAGUGCAUUUUGAUUCUGAUACCUCUAACAAAAUUAUGGCGACUGUUUUCUGAGCUGGGGAUCUAAAACUAACAUGCGCUGGUGCAAUUUUCAGUUGGCAAAGAUGAUUACAGGUCAGCAUAAUAUGUUGAUAUUUCUUCGGAUGAAUAAUUUGAAUGCUUCUUGUAUUUGCAGUCUAAGCUAAUAAUGGUACUAGCCAGAUGAAUUGAGGAAAUUGAUGUACAGCAUCUGUAAAUAGAAUGUCAGUGAGCAAUUUCCUCAAUUCAUCUGGCUAGUACC
rnacentral:misc_RNA from 1 species